GUGAGGAAUAUUGCGCAAUGGAGGCAACUCUGACGCAGCCAUGCCGCGUGCAGGAAGAAGGCGCUACGCGUUGUAAACUGCUUUUAACCGGGAAGAAACCCCAGGACGUGUCCUGGGUUGACGGUACCGGAGGAAUAAGCACCGGCUAACUUCGUGCCAGCAGCCGCGGUAAUACGAAGGGUGCAAGCGUUAUCCGGAUUCAUUGGGUUUAAAGGGUGCGUAGGCGGAGCGGUAAGUCAGUUGUGAAAUCCUGCAGCUUAACUGUAGACUUGCCAUUGAUACUGGCGCUCUUGAGUGCGCUUGAAGUGGGCGGAAUGUGCCGUGUAUCUGUGAAAUGCUUAGAUAUGGCACAGAACACCAAUUGCGAAGGCAGCUCACUAAGGCGAUACUGACGCUGAGGCACGAAAGCGUGGGGAUCGAACAGGAUUAGAAACCCGGGUAGUCC
rnacentral:rRNA from 1 species